rnacentral:rRNA from 1 species
UACGGAGGGUGCAAGCGUUGUUCGGAAUUAUUGGGCGUAAAGGGCGUGUAGGUGGCGCUCCAAGUCUGGUGUGAAAGCCCACGGCUCAACCGUGGAACUGCAUUGGAAACUGGGGCGCUCGAGUAUUGGAGGGGGUCGCGGAAUUCCCGGUGUAGAGGUGAAAUUCGUAGAUAUCGGGAGGAACACCAGUGGCGAAGGCGGCGACCUGGCCAAUUACUGACACUGAGACGCGAAAGCGUGGGUAGCAAACAGG